rnacentral:tRNA from 1 species
GUAUCAGUAGUAUAAGUAAUUAUUUUGUCUUUCCAUGUCAAGGAUUCACUAGGGUGGCUGAUGCA